GACCAAUUGGCCUAGUGGUUAGGGCAUCUGCUUUACAUAAUCAUUGUGAUCGCAGAGGAUCGCAGGUUCGAUCCCUGCAUUGGUCA